GUGAAUCAUCAAAUCUUUGAACGCAAAUUGCACUCUCUGGUAUUCUGGAGAGCAUGCCUGUUUGAGGGCCAGUUUAACUAAAAAUCGGUGUGGUUGCUGCCUUUCGUGGUUACGCUCCGGCUUUGGGUCGUAUCGCCUUCGGUUUAGUGACCUAGUCUCUUGCACCAUAUUUUCGAACGUAUUUAAAUU
rnacentral:misc_RNA from 1 species